AUUGAACGCUGGCGGCAGGCCUAACACAUGCAAGUCGAGCGGAUGAAGGGAGCUUGCUCCUGGAUUCAGCGGCGGACGGGUGAGUAAUGCCUAGGAAUCUGCCUGGUAGUGGGGGAUAACGUCCGGAAACGGGCGCUAAUACCGCAUACGUCCUGAGGGAGAAAGUGGGGGAUCUUCGGACCUCACGCUAUCAGAUGAGCCUAGGUCGGAUUAGCUAGUUGGUGGGGUAAAGGCCUACCAAGGCGACGAUCCGUAACUGGUCUGAGAGGAUGAUCAGUCACACUGGAACUGAGACAAGGUCCAGACUCCUAAGGGAGGCAGAAGUGGGGAAUAUUGGACAAUGGGCGAAAGCCUGAUCCAGCCAUGCCGCGUGUGUGAAGAAGGUCUUCGGAUUGUAAAGCACUUUAAGUUGGGAGGAAGGGCAGUAAGUUAAUAACUUGCUGUUUUGACGUUACCAACAGAAUAAGCACCGGCUAACUUCGUG
rnacentral:rRNA from 1 species